rnacentral:lncRNA from 1 species
UUCCUUCUAUUCUUCUCUCUAUACGUUGGUGUUCUAACCAAUAAUCACCGAUACGAUAUUCUGUCCAAUCGAUUCAGGAACCAACUAAUGAAUGCCAAAAUGUUGUCUAAAUAAGACUAUACUUUGUGAAUUUCAUUAAGGUUCUGAUCUCGUGACCAUCGUUAAGUUUGAUUGGGUUUAACAGUAAUACGUAUUCCACUCUGUUAAACUAAAUGUUUAACUAUCAGAAAACUCCAAACUAUAGACUUACAAUCAAACAAGAUGUUUAAUCAUCAGAAGAUUCGGAACUAUAAAGUAGAUGCUUAGUUAUCAGAAGGCAUAGAAUCAGGAGGCUUGUUUAAUCAAAGACUAUAUGCUAACAAGGUAAUUACAGUAGGUUGGAACAAGAGUGGCGAGACGGCACCAAAAGGCUUAAAGAAGUGGCUUAUUUUAUCAAAUAAAUUAAAUUAAAUUAAACGUUGUUUUACGUAUUCGGGUAUAUCCCAUAUUAAAGCUGCCUUUCAAAACAUGAUUUUAUCCCAUCUAUUUAAUAAAUAAAAUCUGGUAUUUUCUAAACUCUGAUAUUUUUCAUAACUCACGGUCCUGAUGAACAUUUCCGCUGCAAUGUUUUUAAAAUAACCACUGGUACCACUUGACUGCUCGCGGCUCCCGUCCAGGGUGGGGUCAGGGGUCGUGACAGUGUUCCAUAGGACUAACCUUGCACCAAUUUGGGAGGAUACGACCCGGGUCAAUGGUUUUCUGGAGGUUUUUAGUGCAGGUAAAAACUUCAUCAUUUAAUGGGUCACGGUGGUAAAGAUCCAUAGGCUCUUCGACAAGUGUAAAACUUGUAAUGCUCGCUGGGAUAUCCAAGACCAAAAACCUGUUCGAGACAACCACUUGGGACUGAUUUGAGGGGGCUUUAAGAGUCGGUUUCGGGUUUAGGUUAACUUGGAAUAAUAGGGGUACCCUCUGUAUCAAGACUUGUACCUUUCUGAGUUUGGUCUCCAAUAUCCAUCGAUUGCACAAAACCAUCCAAAACAGCAAUAAUGGCUUCUGAAUCAAGGUUUUUUCUUCUAAAUCCAUACCCCCAUUAACAUCUACCUGCUUCGUUAUACUAUGGGACAGAACCGGCUCUUUAUUUGCUAAACAAAAGACCAGGUUUCAUCCACAAACUCACGCACACUAAGAUUAGAAAGCAAGGGUCUGUGCCAGACAUUAGGCGAGUUUUUUUGUUGGGCUAUAUCACCAAAUCAGCUUCUUUGACACAUGAGGGGAUUUGAACACCACUUGAAAGAUUUUCAGACAUAAGGGAAAUGAAACACCGCAGGUUGAAAAUGACAUAGGUCAAAUGUGGUUGAAAUGCAAACAGUCCAACAGUUUGACAAAAAUACAAAAUUUAGGGUAAAUUGAACAAGAGAUCUAGAUUAAACUAUAUGAAAAGGCUGUUAUUAUUGAUAUCAUUUAUAUUUGCAAAGUAUUAAAGAUAAAUGGUUCUAUACAACCUGCAUGCUUGUUUUUCUAUCAAAACUAAUGUGACAUUCGACUUCACAAAACUUUGAGGUUUUUCCUAUAACAAUACAGUCGAUUAGCUCACACGGGGAGGCGGGUGGGCGUCCUAUCACACAACCAUGAGUGGAUUUGAAGUUUUUUCUACUAUAACCAAGCGUAGAUAACUUGUGGGCGAUAUUUGUCGUUAAAAACAGCCCCGCAAGCAAAAACUGAAAAGGUAAGAACAUAUAUUAUGCUUCCCAUUUCUGGAUGGCUGUCUCCCAACAACACUGUAAGUACAAGUGACACCUGUAGAAUACAAGCACCACACACAAGAUAUUUGGGGAUGUGAUGAUGUGUUGAAAAGAAACUCACUUGCUGCACGGAUAGAAACCUCAAAAAUCCGACGAAUGUGACUGUGGCUACACUUGAUUCAGACUUCAGGCUUUGUUUGCCAAUGGCAACAAAGAUGAAUGUUCCCAUAGUUUUCUAGCAUAGUUUGACAAGAUCAUCAACUGCAUGUAUAGCUUCAAGGUGUGUACCAUUCUUAAUCCCGUUCAAAAAGAAAACCACCAUCGGACAAGCAACAACACAAACAAUACCCUCCAAAAGAAAAAACCGAAGGGUGACUCCUCUGGAGAAUAGUGUUAUGACCAUAAGAACACAAGUUGUUCAUUGUAUACCUUUGCAUAGCCAGUACCAGUAAAAGUAGCAAACGACAGCAGAAGGAAAGUUAUCCCAUUGUCUGUGGAACGCAUUAACCAAGACUUGUCUGAGACACUCUACAGUUAGGUUAAGAUUAAAUUAAGAUCUUAAUCAAUGAAAUGCGCAAA